rnacentral:rRNA from 1 species
GAUGAACGCUGGCGGCGUGCUUAACACAUGCAAGUCGAACGGUGAAGGAGGAGCUUGCUCUUCUGGAUCAGUGGCGAACGGGUGAGUAACACGUGAGCAAUCUGCCCUUGACUUUGGGAUAACAGUUGGGAACAGCUGCUAAUACCGGAUACGAGACGUGACCGCAUGGUCAACGUCUGGAAAGAACUUCGGUCAAGGAUGAGCUCACGGCCUAUCAGCUAGUUGGUGAGGUAAUGGCUCACCAAGGCGACGACGGGUAGCCGGCCUGAGAGGGUGACCGGCCACACUGGGACUGAGACACGGCCCAGACUCCUACGGGAGGCAGCAGUGGGGAAUAUUGCACAAUGGGCGAAAGCCUGAUGCAGCAACGCCGCGUGAGGGACGACGGCCUUCGGGUUGUAAACCUCUUUUAGCAAGGAAGAAGCGAAAGUGACGGUACUUGCAGAAAAAGCGCCGGCUAACUACGUG